rnacentral:rRNA from 1 species
CCUACGGGGAGCAGCAGUGGGGAAUAUUGGGCAAUGGGCGCAAGCCUGACCCAGCAAUGCCGCGUGAAGGAAGAAGGCUUUCGGGUUGUAAACUUCUUUUCUCAGGGACGAAGAAAGUGACGGUACCUGAGGAAUAAGCCACGGCUAACUACGUGCCAGCAGCCGCGGUAAUACGUAGGUGGCAAGCGUUAUCCGGAUUUAUUGGGUGUAAGGGGCGUGUAGGCGGGAGCGCAAGUCAGAUGUGAAAACUCAGGGCUCAACCCUGAGCCUGCAUUUGAAACUGUGUUUCUUGAGUGCUGGAGAGGCAAUCGGAAUUCCGGGUGUAGCGGUGAAAUGCGUAGAUAUACGGAGGAACACCAGUGGCGAAGGCAGAUUGCUAGACAGUAACUGACGCUGAGGCGCGAAAGCGUGGGGAGCAAACAGGAUUAGAUACCCCAGUAGUC